rnacentral:sRNA from 1 species
GCUGCAUGCCCUCCUUGGGCGUUUCCUCCCUAGACUUUCAGACCGCUGCUCGCAGCGGUCUUUUUUUUUGCCGCGC